GCAGAUAUGAGGCUCUGCUAGCCACUAACCACUAAUUCUACCAUGUUUUGAAUAAACAUUCAGGAAAGUAGGUGUCUUGAUUUGUUCCCCUGUCAUUUAAUUACUACAAAUAAACAUGACUUCCUCCUUUGUCUACAAAUGCUCUUCUUUUGAAAACCAAAGAUCUUGACCAGGAUACUUUUACUAGGCAACCUGUGCUUUGCUAACAGCAAUAUGAUCUAUCACUUAUAUUGUAAAUGUUUUUAGUUUACAAAUACUACGCAUACAUUCCACUCAAAUACUCUGAAGUCAAGAUGGGAUUUGCCCAAGGUUGUGUAGUAAACAGCAGCAGAGUCACUAAAACUCUGUUUUAAUGACUUAAGGUCAUUUGCUGCCCCAUGACACCGCUUGAUCUGGAAAGUGUCUUCGCCUAGGCAGUUUGCCAGAAGAGGGAGAGAAGAAAUUAAAGAGACCAGAUAACUUUGCAUUUGGUAAAGAACAAAUCUGUCUCUCUUAGGCAGGAGUGAAGAGGAUGAGAUUCUUGUGUGUGGCUGGAGUGCAGUGGCACGAUCUGGAUUCACUGCAUCCUCGACCUCCCAAGCUCAAGCGAUCCUCUCACCUCAGCAUCUGAGUAGCUGGGACAACAGGCGCCACACCACCACACCCGGCAUUGAUAAACCUUGGCUGUUGCUUCAAAUAUAAAUGAUUCUAGAACAUCAGAAUAACUAGUAACAGUAAGAUUACUCAAAUAAGCAAAUAAAAUCAAAGAAGCUCCUGGUUCCUGGCACACAGCUCCUAACACCAUUGGAAUCUCUGGAGUGAAAAGAGUGUCUUUUGUAAGUGAAUGAGAUGACUGAAGGUCGGGGGCCUGUAGAUAGCCCCUUCUCCUAUACCUCGACCUAUACAUCUCUUCCAUGUUUCUUUCAUCUGUAUGCUUUGUAACAUUCUUUAUAAUAAACAAGUAAGUGUAAGUGCUUCCUGAGUUCUGUGAGCUGCUCUAGCAAAUCAGUUGAACCUGAAGAAGGGGUCUUGGGAACCCCUGAUUUACGGCUGGUCGGUCAGAAGCACAGGUAAAACAACUGGGGGCUUGCAGCUGGCAUCUGAGGUGAGGGGAAGCCUUGUGGAACUUAGCGCUUGGCAUGUGGGAUCUGAUACUCUCUCUAGGUAGAUAGCAUCAGAGUGGAACUGAGAGAGGACACCCCGCUGCUGUCUGCUGGAGAACUGAUUGGUGUGUGGAAUCUGGUUUUAGAAGUAUUAUAUUGAGUGGUAUGUGAAAGUAGGAAACACACUUCAUUUUUUUUCCAUCUUUAUAAUAUUUACAUAGUUUUCCGGCACUUCUGGGUAUAGCUAUUUCUAGCUAUUUGAAUGUAGGAAAUGCUUCCAAGAAUGCCUCUCACUUUUUAAAAAAAUUGAGAGAUAACUCACAUACCAUAAAAUUGACCUUUAAAGUAUACAGUCCAGUGGUUUUAGUAUAUUCACAAGAUUGUGCAACUAUCACAACUAAUUCUAGAACAUUGUCAUUACCCCCUACAAAGAAUUCCAUUAGUAGUCACUGCCCAUUCUUCCUUCCCCCACUGCCAGCUUCUCCAUUUUAAUCUACUCCUAUUUUUUUGUCUCUAUGGAUGUGCCUAUCCUGGACUUUUCAUAUAAAUAGAACCAGCCAGGUGUAGUGGCUCAUGCCUGUAAUCCCAGCACUUUGGGAGGCUGAGACAGGCAGAUCACACAAGGCCAGGAGUUCGAGACCAGCUUGGGCAACAUGGUGAAACCCCGUCUCCACUAAAAAUGCCAAAAUUAGCCAGGUGUGGGUGGUGCACGUCUGUAAUCCCAGCUACUCGGGAGGCUGAAGCAUGAGAAUUGCUUGAACCCAGGAGGUGGAUGUUGUAGUGAACCCAGAUUGUGCCGUUGCACUCCAGCCUGCGUGACAGAGCAAGACCUUCUGUGUCUGGCUUCUUUCUGUUAGCACAUUUGCAAGAUUCAUUUAUGUUAUACCAUGAGUCAAUACUUUAUUCCUUUUUAUGGUUGAAUAAUAUUCCAUUUCAUUUCUCCAUUCAUCAGUUGAUGGACACUUGGGUUGCUUCCAGAAAUAUUCUCUCUGACCAACGUGUUAACUAACCCAAUGAGAAGGUCUAGGGCCAGAGGGAGUAUCAUACUAUGAACAAGGUCCAGGAUGCCUGAUGUUAGAAGUGUGAGGGUUGUGGAGAAAGAACAAGUUUGAAAUACCCGGAGUCAGAAGCUGCCAUGAUGCAGGAAUGACUAAAUCUAUCUUUUCUCUCUAUAGAAAAUGAAAUUGCAAAAUUGUUGUUAAGUGAAGAGAUUAUCAAAAUAUUUACAGUUCCCAAAUGUAGAAAACAUGGAGGUGUCAGAUAGUUAAGAUAUCUUGUUUUUCUGAGUUUCGAUAUAUUUUUAGUAAUUAUCAGUUUUUUCAAAAUGUGUAACUUAUGGUUUAUCUUCCUUUAUUUAUUUAUUUAUUGUUAUUAUUCUUUAGAGAUGGAGUCUCGCUCUGUCACCCAAGCUGGAGUGCAGUGGCGUGAUCUCUGCUCACUGCAAGCUCUACCUCCCAGGUUCACACCAUUCCCUUGCCUCAACCUCCUGAGUAGCUGGGACUACAGACACCCGCCACCACGCCCAGCUAAUUUUUUUGUAUUUUUAAU
rnacentral:lncRNA from 10 species